rnacentral:rRNA from 1 species
UACAGAGGGUGCAAGCGUUACUCGGAAUUACUGGGCGUAAAGCGUGCGUAGACGGUUAUGUAAGUCAGGUGUGGAAGCCCCGGGCUCAACCUGGGAAUGGCAUUUGAGACUGCAUAGCUAGGGUGCGGAAGAGGGAAGCGGAAUUUCCGGUGUAGCGGUGAAAUGCGUAGAUAUCGGAAGGAACAUCAGUGGCGAAAGCGGCUUCCUGGUCCAGCACCGACGUUCAGGCACGAAAGCGUGGGGAGCAAACAGG